AUUUGAUGCCUGGCAGUUCCCUACUCUCGCAUGGGGAGACCCCACACUACCAUCGGCGCUACGGCGUUUCACUUCUGAGUUCGGCAUGGGGUCAGGUGGGACCACCGCGCUANNNNNNNNNNNNNNNNNNNNUCAGGUGGGACCACCGCGCUACUGCCGCCAGGCAAAUUCUGUUAUCAGACCGUUUUUACGUUCUGAUGUAAUCUGAAUCAGUGCUGAAAAUCGUCUCUCAUCCGCNNNNNNNNNNNNNNNNNNNNGAAUCAGUGCUGAAAAUCGUCUCUCAUCCGCCAAAACAUCUUCGGCGUUGUAAGGUUAAGCCUCACGGUUCAUUAGUACCGGUUAGCUCAACGCAUCGCUGCGCUUACACACCCGGCCUAUCAACGUCGUCGUCUUCAACGUUCCUUCAGGAGACCUAAAGUCUCAGGGAGAACUCAUCUCGGGGCAAGUUUCGUGCUUAGAUGCUUUCAGCACUUAUCUCUUCCGCAUUUAGCUACCGGGCAGUGCCAUUGGCAUGACAACCCGAACACCAGUGAUGCGUCCACUCCGGUCCUCUCGUACUAGGAGCAGCCCCCCUCAGUUCUCCAGCGCCCACGGCAGAUAGGGACCGAACUGUCUCACGACGUUCUAAACCCAGCUCGCGUACCACUUUAAAUGGCGAACAGCCAUACCCUUGGGACCUACUUCAGCCCCAGGAUGUGAUGAGCCGACAUCGAGGUGCCAAACACCGCCGUCGAUAUGAACUCUUGGGCGGUAUCAGCCUGUUAUCCCCGGAGUACCUUUUAUCCGUUGAGCGAUGGCCCUUCCAUUCAGAACCACCGGAUCACUAUGACCUGCUUUCGCACCUGCUCGCGCCGUCACGCUCGCAGUCAAGCUGGCUUAUGCCAUUGCACUAACCUCCUGAUGUCCGACCAGGAUUAGCCAACCUUCGUGCUCCUCCGUUACUCUUUAGGAGGAGACCGCCCCAGUCAAACUACCCNNNNNNNNNNNNNNNNNNNNCCAGACACUGUCCGCAACCCGGGUAACGGGUCCACGUUAGAACAUCAAACAUUAAAGGGUGGUAUUUCAAGGUCGGCUCCAUGCAGACUGGCGUCCACACUUCAAAGCCUCCCACCUAUCCUACACAUCAAGGCUCAAUGUUCAGUGUCAAGCUAUAGUAAAGGUUCACGGGGUCUUUCCGUCUUGCCGCGGGUACACUGCAUCUUCACAGCGAGUUCAAUUUCACUGAGUCUCGGGUGGAGACAGCCUGGCCAUCAUUACGCCAUUCGUGCAGGUCGGAACUUACCCGACAAGGAAUUUCGCUACCUUAGGACCGUUAUAGUUACGGCCGCCGUUUACCGGGGCUUCGAUCAGGAGCUUCGCUUGCGCUGACCCCAUCAAUUAACCUUCCGGCACCGGGCAGGCGUCACACCGUAUACGUCCACUUUCGUGUUUGCACAGUGCUGUGUUUUUAAUAAACAGUUGCAGCCAGCUGGUAUCUUCGACUGACUUCAGCUCCAUGAGUAAAUCACUUCACCUACGUGUCAGCGUGCCUUCUCCCGAAGUUACGGCACCAUUUUGCCUAGUUCCUUCACCCGAGUUCUCUCAAGCGCCUUGGUAUUCUCUACCUGACCACCUGUGUCGGUUUGGGGUACGAUUUGAUGUUACCUGAUGCUUAGAGGCUUUUCCUGGAAGCAGGGCAUUUGUUGCUUCAGCACCGUAGUGCCUCGUCGUCACGCCUCAGUGUUAAAGUGAACCGGAUUUACCUGGAACACACACCUACACGCUUAAACCGGGACAACCGUCGCCCGGCCAACAUAGCCUUCUCCGU
rnacentral:rRNA from 1 species